GGUAUUCCAGUGCAACAAAGCAGCACAGACUGUGGCUAUUUCAUAAUGAGAUACAUGAAGGACAUCGUAGAGGAUAAGAACUUGGAGUUUUUCAGCAAGUGGGAGAAAAAAGGGAAAGCAGCAUAUACCCAGCAGCAUAUUGAUGAGGUCAGAAACGAGUGGGCAAAAUUUGUUGUUAAAACAUAUAUGUAAGCUUGUGGUUGGGUAUCGACUUAUUUUAGUAACCUUGAUUUUACAAGAUAUAUAGACAAUAUUAUUAUUACUUGCUAGAUUGAGGUUACUUUUGGUUAGAAUUGCUGGAUAUGGAUAUGUACUUUUGGAAAUGUUUUGGAUUGGCAAUGUAAGAACAGAUGGCAUUGAUAUAUGAUAAUGUUAUAUUUUGGAUU